CUUUCCUGCUGUUCUUCUGAAGGGGCCCGGCAAGAAUUUCCCUGUCUCUUUUAUCUUCCUGAUAAAACUUCCUUCCCAUAUACCAUGAGGUGAGCAGCUCCAGAGCAAAAGGGGCAAGAAGUCACAGACUGGAAACCAUGAGAUAAAUAUUUGCUAGAGGUCCACAGUCCACAGUUCCGCCACUUCCGGAUACUCUGUGCUGUCCAGUUGGGUCAAGUUGAGAGUCAAGAUAAACCAUCAGAGUCAUGCUGCUCAGACUCAGGCUCGCCUGACAUCACAUCUCAGCAAAAUUUCUCCCUGAAGUACAAAGAUGCUGUAGUGGACGCAAGCCACUGUAGCCAAUGAAGAGCAGAGACACUGGAAACACGCAGACUUCCGCCUGAGAAAGUCUUCACCCUGGGGACAAAACUACUUAAUCUGUCCCUUAGUGCCUUCAGUUUGAUGAACAGUGACCAAGAGUCAAUACGGAAAAACCAUUACAGUAACUGUGAGACAUCUGUAGAGAGAUUACUGGUAACAAGUUCUUUAUGUGGUCUAACGAAUUAUCUAGGUUAAAUUCAAGCCCAUAAUCUGGAGUGUGAAAAGCUGCCUGGGCCUGCUCAGUCCCCAUCCGAGGCUGUGCAGACUUUCUUGGCUCUGCAGGGAGUCUGGAGGUGAGGCUGACAAGGGCUGGAGGGAGCAAGGCCAUCCUCACCCUUUCCUUCAUGCUCAGUGUCUGCUCAGAGAGAGGGGAUUUGUCCACUUCAUCACAAACAGCAAGAUUUCCUUCUUUUAUGUCUGAAAACAUCCCAGUGCUGGUGAAUGAAUGCCAUCAUGUUUUCACCCACCGAUACAUAUUUCAGUAUUUCCCAUCUCAGCUGCCAUGAAUAUGACUUCAAAGGAAAUCAGUGCAGAUACUUCCAUCAUAUGACUCAUACACUCUCCUUGGCCGUGCAAUCGGAGCAGGACUGCCUAGCCAGAGGUCCUAUUUUUUCUAAUAUUUUUAUUUUAUCUUAGAAGCACUCUUAAUAAUGUAUCAAUCCCCCCAUUUCCUCACCUUCCCAUUCUCCAAAACUCCCCACCAAACCCCCA